rnacentral:rRNA from 1 species
UAACGCGAAGAACCUUACCAACUCUUGGCAUCCCCCUGACCGGUACAGAGAUGUACCUUCCCCGUCGGGGGCAGGGGUGACAGGUGGUGCAUGGUUGUCGUCAGCUCGUGUCGUGAGAUGUUGGGUUAAGUCCCGCAACGAGCGCAACCCUUGUCCUUAGUUGCCAGCAUUAAGUUGGGCACUCUAAGGAGACUGCCGGUGACAAACCGGAGGAAGGUGGGGAUGACGUCAAAUCAUCAUGCCCCUUAUGGGUUGGGCUACACACGUGCUACAAUGGACGGUACAAAGGGCAGCGAAGCCGCGAGGUGGAGCCAAUCCCAGAAAGCCGUUCUCAGUUCGGAUUGCAGGCUGCAACUCGCCUGCAUGAAGUCGGAAUCGCUAGUAAUCGCA